rnacentral:tRNA from 1 species
GCGGGAAUAGCUCAGUUGGUAGAGCGCCAGCCCUCCAAGCUGGCUGUCGCGGGUUCGAACCCCGUUUCCCGCU